GCGCAACAGGUGGCAUAGCUCAUUUGGUAGAACAUAAGACUCUUAAUCUCAGGGUCAUGGGUUCAAGCCCUACGCUGGGCA